AACCGCGGUUAGACGAGUUGGCCCAAGCUGAUAAAACUCGGCGUAAAGUGUGGCCUGGGUACAAUUACUACUAAAAUUGAAUACCUCCCAAACUGUUAUACGUUUACGGGGGUAAGAAAACCAACUACGAAAGUGAUUUUAUAAUACCACUGGCCACGAAAGCUAGAACA
rnacentral:rRNA from 1 species